rnacentral:rRNA from 1 species
UUAGUUUUUUAAUUGAGAACUUGUAUGAAUGGUUGAAUGAGAAAUGAACUUUUUUAAUAAAAAAAUUGAAUUUUACAUUUUAAUUAAAAGGUUGAAAUGUAUUUAAAAGACGAGAAGACCCUAUAGAGUUUUAUAAUUUAUAUUUAAUAUUAAAAAAAAUUAAUAGAUAUUUUUAUUUAAAUAAUUAUUUUGUUGGGGUGAUGAUAAAAUUUAACUAACUUUUAUUUUUUUUUACAUUAAUAUAUGGGAAAUUGAUCCACUAUUAGUGAUUAAAAGAUUAAAUUACCUUAGGGAUAACAGCGUAAUUUUUUUUUUAAGUUCAUAUUAAUAAAAAAUUUUGCGACCUCGAUGUUGGAUUAAGAUUUAAUUUUAGGUGCAGAAGUUUAAAAUUUAAGUCUGUUCGACUUUUAAAUUC